UACGGGGGGGGCAAGCGUUGUUCGGAAUUACUGGGCGUAAAGGGCUCGUAGGCGGCCAACUAAGUCAGACGUGAAAUCCCCAGGCUCAACUUGGGAACUGCGUCUGAUACUGGAUGGCUUGAAUUCGGGAGAGGGAUGCAGAAUUCCAGGUGUAGCGGUGAAAUGCGUAGAUAUCUGGAGGAACACCGGUGGCGAAGGCGGCGUUCUGGACUGUAACUGACACUGAGGAACGAAAGCCAGGGGAGCAAACGGG
rnacentral:rRNA from 1 species